CCGUUCUGUCUGCAAUUCGAGGGGGUGGUGGAGGACUUCAACUACGGCACCCUGCUGCGCCUGGACUGCCGGGGGGGUACAGCCCUGAGAACACCAUCUUCGCCACCAGGAUUCAGUUCUUUGCCAUUGAGAUCGCUCGCAACAGGGAGGGCUACAACAGCAUCAUCUACAACAGCACCCGGCAGCAGCGGGGGGACAGCAAAUAAACCUUGUUAGAGCUGCACCCGGAGUCGUUCUGUCUGUGACCCCCCCACCCCAACCCCCCCCCCAGAGCACCGGAGGCGGCUCAGUAGAAACCAUUGAAGUUUAUUUGCAGUCACAAUGCUUACACUGUAUGCAGCAAACACCCUUACAAGUCAACCAGCAAUCGGCUCACGCGGAAAAGGACCCAACACGCAAUCGCCGGAGGAAAGAAGGGAGAAAAACCAACCAA